rnacentral:lncRNA from 1 species
AGUCCCGGCUAGGGACACAGCUCUUAGACUUUGAGCUAGACAACCAGGAGGACAGGAGGACCUAGUAUCCUGCCUCCAUCAGCCCAUCAUUUAUGCAAAUGCUACUUAGUUGCCGUCUAGAUGCAGGAUGCUGUCUGCCCUGUUAAAUGCUGUGUGAACCCAGAUGGAAGCUGAGCAGACAUCACACUCGUGAGCAGCUCCCCUUCCUGUGAGCAUCUCCCCUUCCUGUUUCAGGCUGGCCUUGAACUUACAGGGAUUCACCUGCCUCUGCCUCCCAGAUGCUGAGAUUAAAGGCAUGUGCCAUCACCACCUGAACAACAGCAGCUUUCUAAGGAACCAGUAAGGCACUACAGACUUUUCAUAUAACAUCACCUUCAUUCUCUCACAACUAAUUCUACAAAACAGAUGUUAUACGACCUCGUUCGCUGAAGUCAAAGAUGCAGAGGGGCCAAGGUGUGGGCUCCGGACCUCACACCAGUGUGGCAGAUUCAACAAGCCCAGAAUAAGCCUCUUCCUUUGCUCACAAUAAGAUUAAGCCAACUGCCUCUUCAUUCCUCAGUCACACUCCUCCUCUGACCCUGCUCCAGGAGGCUCAUCUUGUCAGACUUCACACUGAAUGAGCGCUGAGGAUGCUGUAGAGUAUGAGCUGUGUGCAGGUUUCAAAAGCAAUUUGUGCCCCUGAAACAAGCCAACCAGCAGAGAAGGAACAAAAGAAACAUGGUGUCUUCUACCUCCAGCCUUGAAGCUUCCAGACCUCCCUACACGAACCCCCCCCCCACACCCACUCCCCGAAAUGAUGUCCCAGUGAAGAGCCAGGCUCUUAUCCUUCCAUCCAUGCCUCUCAGGCGUCUGCUUCAUUUAGCAUGUAUGUGCAUUUUACCAGGUUAAUGCAACACAGACUAUUUCCUAGUAGCUGUGAAGCCCAGUGUAGCCUCUGCUGCCGGACACAUGGUUUGUCUCCAGUCUUUCCCUUCCCAGCAAAGCAGCCUUGACUCAUCUCCUUUCUCUAUGACAGAGCCCUUUAGAAUGUACUCACUGGGCCAACGAUGCAGUUUCAAUUUGGGUUUUUAAUGGAAGUGGGUGGCUAGGUAAGUGGGUUGAAUGACUGACUGAUUCUGAAUAGCUCUGAAUUUAUUGAGCUGCUUCCAGGAAGGUCCAGGUGACCUGGGUAGCAGAAAGGACACCCAUUCCUGUUUGAUGGUGUUUUUUUUCUAUCUAUCAUCCUUCCUGUCUUUCCUUCUUUAUUUCUUUCUGGGUGAGACAGGGUCUUAUAAUACAGUUUCAGCCAGCCUGGAACUCAUUAUGUAAACCAGGCUGGUCUCCAGCUCAUGGAGAUGAGCCUGCCUUUGCUUCCCAUGUACUGAAAUUAAAGCCCAGCUUGUUUUUUUCUCUUUACCACACUGGGGAUUCAACCCAAGGCUAGUAAGCACCCUGGCACUGAGUAUAUUCUGGACCUCUUCUUAUUUUAAUGUUGAUGUAGGGUCCUGCUAAGUUUCCCAGACUGACCUUCAACUCACUAUGCAAGUCCAGGCAGGCCUUGAACUCACGAUCCUCCUGGUUCAGCUUCCUGAGCUGAUGAGUGGCAGGCACCAUUAGUCUCAUUCGGAAGGAUGUGCUUCAUCCUUGGUGAAAGCGCUCAUCUCUUGUCUUGGCUGGCUAGAAUUUCCAGGGUGAAGAAAGGAGGAUUAGAAAAGUUCAAGGUCACCCUCCCCUACAUAGAGAGUUCAAGGCCAGGCUGGGCCACAUGAGAAAAACCAAAAGAACAGAUGGUGUUAGCAGGAGGUAGGGAAGGAGUAGGGAGGUCCAGCCCUGGGUGGGGCAGAGCCCCUGCUAAAGACAAGGGACAUUCCUUAGUGUCAACUUUCCCUUAGGAUGGAGAGGAGGGGUUGCUAGCUCGUCACACCCCACAGCCCUGGAGGACAGGAGCUUACUGUUGAGUUAGUGGGGCAGAGUCGGGGAGAGGCUGUCAUUUCGGCAGCCCUGGUACAUGGAGCCACUAGCAGGCUUCUUCGUCUCAUGUCUUCAUCCGCACCACCUCCUAGCAGCCUGCCCUCCCCAACUUGUCCACUUAAAGCCUGGGCCAGUGAGAUGACUCUGCAGAUAAAGGUAUUGUCACCCAGCCUGAGGACCUGAGUUCAAUUUCUGGGUUCCAUAUGAUGGAAGGAGAGAACUGAGUCCCUUAACUUGAUCUCUAACCUGCACAUGUGGAUUGUGAAUGGGCUUAUGUGCCCACACACCCUCUCUCUCACACAAUAAACAUAAGUAAUAAAUGUAUACAUGCAUAUACACAUACAUAAUACACACAUACAUACAUGCUUGAAUGCAUACAUACGUUCGUAUGUAUGUCCUUGCCACUCUCUUGGAACCUGACUCCUACAGAAUGUAACCUUGAUUUGUGCUCCAGGCUCACUUGACACCUGGCUUCUGUGGCUUGUUCGAGUCCUCUGUCUCCCAGACAAUGAGCUAGGAUUCUGGUCAUUCAGGUUCAGCCUGGGUGCAGAGAGUUUUGAGUGGGCCUGUCCACUGGAGACCACUCCUCUCGUCACCCAUGAAGCAUCUAAAGUUAAGUAUGAUGGUGCAGACCUGGAAUCCCAGAAUUCAGGAGGUGGGGGCAGGGAUUUCUAAACUCAGAAGUCAGCCUGAGCUAUCUAGAGAGAUGCUGUUUCAAAAAUUUAAAACAGCCGGGUGUGGUGGCACACGCCUUUAAUCCCAGCACUCGGGAGGCAGAGGUAGGCGGAUUUCUGAGUUCGAGGCCAGCCUGGUCUACAAAGUGAGUUCCAGGACAGCCAGGGAUAUACAGAGAAACCCUGUCUCGAAAAACCAAAAAUAAAAAAUAAAUAAAACAAAACCGAA